GGAAUAUUGGGCAAUGGAGGCAACUCUGACCCAGCAACGCCGCGUGAGUGAUGAAGGUCUUCGGAUUGUAAAACUCUUUAAGUGGGGACGAAGAAAGUGACUGUACCCACAGAAUAAGCCUCGGCUAACUACGUGCCAGCAGCCGCGGUAAUACGUAGGAGGCAAGCGUUAUCCGGAAUGACUGGGUUUAAAGGGUGCGUAGGCGGGCUGUUAAGUCAGCGGUCAAAUGUCGGGGCUCAACCCCGGCCUGCCGUUGAAACUGGCGGCCUCGAGUGGGCGAGAAGUAUGCGGAAUGCGUGGUGUAGCGGUGAAAUGCAUAGAUAUCACGCAGAACUCCGAUUGCGAAGGCAGCAUACCGGCGCCCUACUGACGCUGAGGCACGAAAGCGUGGGUAUCGAACA
rnacentral:rRNA from 1 species